GAAGAACCUUACCAGCUCUUGACAUUCGGGGUUUGGUCAGUGGAGACAUUGACCUUCAGUUCGGCUGGCCCCAGAACAGGUGCUGCAUGGCUGUCGUCAGCUCGUGUCGUGAGAUGUUGGGUUAAGUCCCGCAACGAGCGCAACCCUCGCCCUUAGUUGCCAGCAUUCAGUUGGGCACUCUAAGGGGACUGCCGGUGAUAAGCCGAGAGGAAGGUGGGGAUGACGUCAAGUCCUCAUGGCCCUUACGGGCUGGGCUACACACGUGCUACAAUGGUGGUGACAGUGGGCAGCGAGACCGCGAGGUCGAGCUAAUCUCCAAAAGCCAUCUCAGUUCGGAUUGCACUCUGCAACUCGAGUGCAUGAA
rnacentral:rRNA from 1 species